rnacentral:lncRNA from 1 species
GAGAGCUGUGCCCUAAGUGAAAGAGCUGUAAGUGGAGAGAGCUGUAAGUGAAAAGAGCUGUGCCCCAAGUAAAAAAAAGCUGUAAGUAAAAAGCUGUGGAAUAAGCUGCAAGUAAAGCAGAAGCUGCGUGAACCCGCCUUGGUGUCUGUGUUGCUGCCGGCUCAGAGUGGUGUCCUGUAUGGGGAACAGGGAACUCAUUGCGUAGGUCGGCAAUGGUAAGUAAGAAAAUUUUAGUAAACAGCAGUAAGGAAACCUUAGUAAACAGCGGUAGGGAAAUUUUGGUAAACAGAGGUAAGGAAGCCUUAGUAAACAGUGGUAGGAAACUUUAGUAAACAGAGGUAAGGAAAUUUUAGUAAGCAACAGUAUUUAAAGAAAGCUCAGGCCUGUAAGGUUCCUGGGGGGAAAAAGGGACGACAAGUGGUGGCCCGUACGGGGAACUCAUAGUUUUGGUAAGCAGGGGUAACUAAAGAAAGCAUAGGCCUGAUAGGUUCAUCAGAAAAAAAGGGGACAAAGCAUUAAGGUUCUUGGGUAUAGAGACGAAGGUAGGGUUCCUGGGAAAAGAGAGACAAAGCAUUAACGUUCUCAGGUAUGGAGACAAAGGUGGGGUUCUCCAGAAAAGAGGGGACGAAGCAUUAAGGUUCUCAGGUAUAGAGAUGAAAGUAAGGUUCCCCAGAAAAGGGGGACGGAGCACUAGGGUUCUUAGGAAUAGAGACGAAGGGAAUUUCAGCAACAUGGGUUCAACUACGAAUAAAACGAAAGUAAAAAUGUUAGUCAUCUGGAACUUGGUCAGGGCGUGCUUGAGGGUCGCCAGUGGGUAGUGAAACAGCAUGCGUAGGCUGCCUGCCAAGUUGGAUCUGUCAGCCUAUCUGUGACCGACCUGAGCUUGUGCCUGGAGUGUGUGUGAUUCUGAUUGGAUGAGGUGGUGUAGCGCGAGAUGAGGUCAGUUGCCGCUACUGUAUAAAUAUAGCCCUUGCCCUAAGUGGAGAGAGCUGUGCCCUAAGUGAAAGAGCUGUAAGUGAAAAGAGCUGUAAGUGAAAAGAGCUGUGCCCCAAGUAAAAAAGCUGUAAGUAAAAAGCUGUGGAGUAAGCUGCAAAUAAAGCAGAAGCUGCGUGAACA